AUUGAACGCUGGCGGCAUGCCUUACACAUGCAAGCCGAACGGCAGCACGGGGCAACCUGGUGGCGAGUGGCGAACGGGUGAGUAAUGCAUCGGAACGUACCUUUCAGUGGUGGAUAACGUAGCGAAAGUUCCGCUAAUACCGCAUAUUCUGUGAGCAGGAAAGCAGGGGCUCGCAAUACCUUGCGCUGAUUGGGCGGCUAAUGUCAGAUUAGCUAGUUGGUGAGGUAAAGGCUCACCAAGGCGACGAUCUGUAGCGGGUCUGAGAGGAUGAUCCGCCACACUGGAACUGAGACACGGUCCAGACUCCUACGGGAGGCAGCAGUGGGGAAUUUUGGACAAUGGGGGCAACCCUGAUCCAGCCAUGCCGCGUGAGUGAAGAAGGCCUUCGGGUUGUAAAGCUCUUUCGGCCGGGAAGAAAUCGCACGGGCUAAUACCCUAUGUGGAUGACGGUACCGGAAUAAGAAGCACCGGCUAACUACGUGCCAGCCGCCGCUGUAAAAC
rnacentral:rRNA from 1 species